UUUUUUUGACAUCCACAUUAAGUUAUUAUGUAAGUUAUAUGUAUGCUGUAUAUUUUAAUAUA
rnacentral:sRNA from 1 species